rnacentral:rRNA from 1 species
UGGGGGAUAUUGCACAAUGGGCGAAAGCCUGAUGCAGCGACGCCGCGUGGGGGAUGAAGGCCUUCGGGUUGUAAACUUCUUUUGCUCUGAACAAGGCAUGCCUUUGGGGUGUGUUGAGUGUAGGGGUUGAUUAGCGCCGGCUAACUACGUGCCAGCAGCCGCGGUAAUACGUAGGGCGCGAGCGUUGUCCGGAAUUAUUGGGCGUAAAGGGCUUGUAGGUGGCUGGUUGCGUCUGUCGUGAAAGCUCAUGGCUUAACUGUGGGUUUGCGGUGGGUACGGGCUGGCUUGAGUGCAGUAGGGGAGGCUGGAAUUCCUGGUGUAGCGGUGGAAUGCGCAGAUAUCAGGAGGAAUACCGGUGGCGAAGGCGGGUCUCUGGGCUGUUACUGACGCUGAGGAGCGAAAGCGUGGGGAGCAAACAGG